GCCACUUCCCAGAGAGCCUUCCUUGAUUUCCCCGGCGAGAGUCAGGCCAGGCCCAGGGGCAGUGACAGCACCGACCCACAGGGCUGCCUAUUUUACGUCUGUUCACCUGCUGGACUGAGGGUCCUGAGGUUGGGGCCCAUGUUCACCAUCGUACCCAGUGCCAGUGAGUACCAGGCGCCUGGUGGGCACUCAGAAAUACCAGCAGAACGCAUGAAGAGGGGAAUGAAAGUGUCAACUUCCACUGCCUGCACCCUGCAGUCUCAAUAGCCAGGACCUUACCUUCCUCUGGUAAGGUCCAGUCACUACCCUGGAGUUAUGGUCCCACCUUUUGGUCCAGAAUGGCAGCUGGAGCUCCAGCCAUCACGUCCAAGUUCCAGGCAGCACUAGGAGAAGAGCUGAAGAAGACCCUUGACAAUUCCACCUGUAUGGAUGGUGCCAGGUUUCCAGUACGACACCCCUGCCGGGAUGGACAUCAUCGAACCUGCCAUCCUUGCACUUGGUUGGAACAUUUCCACCCUGUAAGUUCCCAGAAGUAGGAAUGCUGAGUGCAAGCAGAGACUCUUGACAUUUGGACAUGAAUUGAGAAACUGCCUUUCAGGAAGCCAGCCCAGGCAGACUCCUCUCACCAUCUGUG